AUGGAGCCGGUAAGAAGCGGCGACGGAUCCGGCGAGCUGAUCGGGAUCGGAUCCGGGAAGCGGAAGGGGGUCGGAUCCGGGAAACGCACGGGCAUCUCCUCAGAAACGCUGAAGUUGCUCCUCGCAGAGGCGUUGAAAACCAGGGUAAAGAAUCAGAUAUCGAGUCGGUUGAGGAAUAUCGACGACCAAGGCCAGCGGAUCCAGGCGCUGCGGGAGUUUCAGGCGUGGAUCAUGCAUCAGCAUCCACAGUCGAGCAUAGACGCGCCGAUGCAGACCGAGAAGAGCGAGGGAAUCGAAGAUCUGGGCAAGCUGGUCGACACUCUCGCCGGAGAGAUAUCGAGUUCGAUGGUGGUGGAAUUUGCACUUCGAGAAAAAGAAAAGAAAGUGGAGCAGGAAGAGAAGCUCGUUUGCGCAUUAGAUUCGUGCUCCGAGGAGAUCCGUGAUCUGUGGGAAAACUUCCCAAGAUACGAGCACGAUCUCGCCCUUCUCUCCAAAGUGCAGUCAAUCUCUGCAAGUAUCGAUAUGCUUCGGAGACUGGAACCGGAGCUUGACAUCAAACUGAGAUCGAUGGAGGUGAAGACUGAGGAGGAGGAGAUCAGCAGGGAUGAUCUUGGUUGCAAACUGGGAUCGAUGGAGCUGAAGGUUGAUGAGGAGGAGUUGAGCAAGGAUGAAGAAGCAAAAUCCGAAUCAAUAGCAGCCGGGAUGGUGGUCGAGGGAUUGCAAGCCUACCGUAGCUGCUGGGAGUCGUUAUGGCGCCCUGCGAGGAGUUUCGAGGACAUGACGUUAGCGAGUUCCAUGCUCUUUACUCACUGCACACCAGGCCGUAUGCCAAGAAAUGCCAUCGUUGGGAGCACCUUGCAGAUCUACUCAAUUAAGGUUGCAGAAAUACACGGCUUUGAGAGCCCCCUGAAGGUGUACGGUGUGGUUGCUGCCCGAGACACAGUGGACAGCAGUCGUAACCCAAUCUUCCUUCGUCCAAGAAAUGGCUGUCAAAUCCUCAAUCUGCAGGAGCCCUUUCUACACUUAACUGGCCCAUGUCGUGCAAUUGUGUCUAUGAACCCUGUUGACAUUGAGAUAGAGCUGAAACUAAAGGGGGCAACCAAGUCCGAGGACAGGAUAUUGAUCAGCAAAGUCUAUCACUACAAUGGUGAAAGGUUAGGUACAUAUCUCGUCGGCGACAUGCAUUGUGGGAUAGAAUUAUGCUUUCAGCAACUUGAGCAGUCCAUUCAGGCCACAAUCUCGCGUGUUCGGAUUGUUGAAAGGGACUCAGCGCCUUUUCCGCAUGGUGGCCGAGUUGCGUGCUUCUCGCUACCUCGCGAGCAAUCCGAAGAAAUUGUGCUGCUUGACACAAAAGGUGGGAAAAUGCCAAUGGGGAAACACCGUUGUUUUGAGCUGUCCAGAAAGGUUGUCUCUGUAGAAUUAGAAGGGAAGCUCAAAGUUAUGAUUCAAGCAUAUGCACCAUCUGGUGAAAUCACCGGCGGUCAUGUCCUGUUCACACCACAAAAGUGCAGCGCAACUAAAGGUAUCUGUCAUCUUGGUGAAACUGCGGUGGAAGUUACCGUUGCUUGGUCGCUCCUCCCCUCGCCGAAGGAGACCUUACCAUGUCCAUUGCCUGUAGACAGGAUUUGUUAG
rnacentral:rRNA from 1 species